GAUGAACGCUGACAGAAUGCUUAACACAUGCAAGUCUUUGGCGAAGCUGUGCUUGCACAGCCUAGCCAAGGCGGACGGGUGAGUAACGCGUAAGGAACUUGCCCUGCAGUCAGGGAUAACAGACGGAAACGACUGAUAAGACCUGGUAAAGUCAGGCGGACUCAUGUCCAGCCUGAUGAAAAGAGAUGCUGCAGGAGAGCCUUGCGUCCUAUUAGCUUGUUGGUGGGGUAACGGCCCACCAAGGCGAUGAUAGGUAGCCGGCCUGAGAGGGUGGACGGCCACAAGGGGACUGAGAUACGGCCCUACUCCUACGGGAGGCAGCAGUGGGGAAUAUUGGACAAUGGGGGCAACCCUGAUCCAGCAAUUCUGUGUGCACGAUGAAGGUUUUCGGAUUGUAAAGUGCUUUCAGCAGGGAAGAAAAAAAUGACGGUACCUGCAGAAGAAGCGACGGCUAAAUACGUG
rnacentral:rRNA from 1 species